CCUACGGGAGGCUGCAGUGGGGAAUAUUGGGCAAUGGAGGAAACUCUGACCCAGCAACGCAGCGUGAAGGAUGAAGGUUUUCGGAUUGUAAACUUCUGUCGCGAGAGACGAAGAAUGACGGUACCUCGUAAGAAAGCCCCGGCAAACUACGUGACAGCAGCCGCGGUAAGAGGGAGGGGGCGAGCGUUGUCCGGAAGGACGGGGCGUAAAGGGAGUGUAGGCGGCUCUUUAAGUUAUAUGUGAAAUCCCGCGGCUUAACCGUGGAAGUGCAAAUGAAACUGGGGAGCUGGAGUGCAGGAGAGGUGAGUGGAAUUCGUAGUGUAGCGGUGGAAUGCGUAGAUAUUAGGAAGAACACCGGUGGCGAAGGCGGCUCACUGGACUGUAACUGACGCUGAGGCUCGAAAGCGUGGGGAGCAAACAGGAUUAGAUACCCUGGUAGUC
rnacentral:rRNA from 1 species